UUUAUAACGUAUGAAAAAAAAAAAAAAAAAACGCGACGAGGAUUAUUGAGCAAUCAAUAAUUAUUAUUUCCAAGUUAUAACUGACUUAGCAAAGUCAUGUUAUUUAUUAAUCGAGAAACAGAAGCAGUUAUAUUUUAUUAGUGCUACUAGAAGUCGAGAAAUUAUUCCGACUGCAACGCAAAUUCAAUCUACGGAUUUAAUCUAGAUUCAUAUUACUGUAUUAGCAUCACCAAGGCAUGAGGAUAUAAUUCAUUUAUUCAUCAAUCUCAUUCUCAUACUUUACAAACUCUUAUAACCAAUUACAGUUUCACCUAUCAAUGCUAUGAAGUAGAUACAUGAAUAUGUUAGACAUAUAUGUAAGCAUACAAUCAUCAUUAUUUUUUUCCACUCCCUAAUGUCUCCUACACUAUACACGCAUAAUCUCCACUUCUCCACUCCACCAACUAUCUCCACCACCUUUUGCUUUCUUCCACUACAUUUUUUCUCACCACCCUUUCCACUCCACUAAUUCCACUACACCAAACUUUCCACCUACUCCCUUCCCCACCACACGCAAGAAUGCAUCUAACAUUCCAUUAUACAGGCAACAAUCUUUUCAUCAUCUUCAUUCUUCACUAAGGAACCGAAGAGCAGCCACGAGUUCUGCCAUAAGCACACUGCUCCGGCAGUGUUUUGCAAGGCGAUUCCAGCCAUCCAAAAGGUCCGGGCGACAGAAAGUGAAGCCGAAGAAGAAACGACUCCACGCCAGCUUUAAGAACAAUUGAGGUUGAGCUGUGAUGGGCGAUGAAGUGUUGCUGAGUGGAGUUUUUGUCGAACUUAAAGUAGGCUCAGAAAGGAUACAUGUCUUCAUACAUGUAUCACAGUUAUGCUUUCCGCUGUAAACACUGAUUAUUUCAGUUACGCCUUCCGUUGCAAACUCUGAUAAUGUUUUAGCCAAGCCCCUAAUGAUGCCUUUUUCCUUUUAAGGAAUAUAACGCGUAUACAAGUUCUUUGAGUACCCUUUUUAUGCGAACUAUGCCUUUUUCCUUUUUAAGGAAUAUUUCACGCGUAUUCAA